CUACGUGCCAGCAGCCGCGGUAAUACGUAGGUGGCAAGCGUUGUCCGGAAUUAUUGGGCGUAAAGCGCGCGCAGGUGGUUUAAUAAGUCUGAUGUGAAAGCCCACGGCUCAACCGUGGAGGGUCAUUGGAAACUGUUAAACUUGAGUGCAGGAGAGAAAAGUGGAAUUCCUAGUGUAGCGGUGAAAUGCGUAGAGAUUAGGAGGAAUACCGAAGGCGAAGGCAGCCCCUUGGGAAUGUACUGACGCUCAUGUGCGAAAGCGUGGGGAGCAAACAGGAUUAGAUACCCUGGUAGUCCACGCUGUAAACGAUGUCGAUUUGGGGGUUGAACUUUGAGUUUGGCGCCCGUAGCUAACGUGAUAAAUCGACCGCCUGGGGAGUACGGCCGCAAGGUUAAAACUCAAAUGAAUUGACGGGGGCCCGCACAAGCGGUGGAGCAUGUGGUUUAAUUCGAUGCAACGCGAAGAACCUUACCUGGUCUUGACAU
rnacentral:rRNA from 1 species